rnacentral:tRNA from 1 species
GCCUGAGUGAUGGAAUUGGUAGACGUGCUGGACUCAAAAUCCAGUGGGGGCAACCCCGUGUCGGUUCGACUCCGACCUCAGGCA